rnacentral:rRNA from 1 species
GAUGAACGCUGGCGGCGUGCCUAAUACAUGCAAGUCGAGCGAACAGACGAGGAGCUUGCUUCUCUGACGUUAGCGGCGGACGGGUGAGUAACACGUAGGUAACCUACCUAUAAGACUGGGAUAACUUCGGGAAACCGGAGCUAAUACCGGAUAAUAUUUUGAACCGCAUGGUUCGAAAGUGAAAGAUGGCUUUGCUAUCACUUAUAGAUGGAUCUGCGCUGCAUUAGCUAGUUGGUAAGGUAACGGCUUACCAAGGCAACGAUACGUAGCCGACCUGAGAGGGUGAUCGGCCACACUGGAACUGAGACACGGUCCAGACUCCUACGGGAGGCAGCAGUAGGGAAUCUUCCGCAAUGGGCGAAAGCCUGACGGAGCAACGCCGCGUGAGUGAUGAAGGUCUUCGGAUCGUAAAACUCUGUUAUUAGGGAAGAACAAACGUGUAAGUAACUGUGCACGUCUUGACGGUACCUAAUCAGAAAGCCACGGCUAACUACGUG